UUCUACAAUUCACAGAGGACAACACUCAUUAAGUCCCCACAGUCUAGCCGCUUCUAAAUUCUUUCAAAACUGGACAAAGCUAAUGGAUACAUCAAAUGUUAAUCGGAGAAGAUUCAGAAGUACAUUUUUCUUGGAUGUAAUAAUAAAUGGCUACCAAAUAAAAUUGCUACAAUCGUUUCGCUAACGAAAACGUGUGACUCGAAGAGGCCUGGACAUGGAACACAGUCCGAGUGGAUCGACGUUCAUCCCAGUGAAAAUCCUCUUACAAUACAGUUUGUAGAAGGACAGUUUGUUGAUUCCUACGACCCUACUAUUGAAAACAGAUGAGUAUUACAUUUUUCCCCAAUCUCAUUCUAUGGAUAUUCAUGGUUACGUUUUGGUGUACUCAGUCACUUCAAUGAAAAGAUGCGUUAGAUCAUUGUUACUGGAUGUCUACGGAGUGUUAGAAUCCAUAUUUGGAAAGAGGCGUUGUCCCACAUGGUUGAGCAGACCCAGAGCGCACAUUCGGAGACUGCACACAAGAGGGCCCUCAACGCACAUUUUUUGGAGUGAUGGAAUAAGCCCUGUUCCAAAGGGCUGUUUUAGGUUCUGUAGCUUUAAAUGCAAAGGAACUGCUGCUCCCUACACCCCUUUUUGGAAGUGGGCUGUGCCUUUCCUGCUGGUGCCAUGGAUACCCCAGCGACAACAAUGCAAAUAACAUGGAGAACACACACAAGUCAAUCAUCUUACUGUAUUGUGCAUAACAAAGUUUUGAAGUUGUGCAAGUUCUACAUGACAAGCUUCUUGAUAUGGUCGGAAAAAUACAGGUACCUACUGUUCUAGUUGGGAACAAAAAAGAUCUUCACAUGGAAAGCCACUUGUUUCCAGUGAAAAAUACUGGUGGUGCAGCAUUCGGAUUGGACGUGUGUUUGACACCGCUCAUGUAAAAUGCAGAUUAAAAAGUAGAGUGAUUAAACCAGAAGAAGGCAAAACAUUAGCUGACUCUUGGGGUGCUGCCUUUAUGGAGUCAUCCGCUAAGCAAAAUCAGACAGCUGUAGAGGUUUUCAAGCGGAUUAUUCUGGAAAUGGAAAGAGUUGAUGGAAAUGCCCCAUCUGAGGAAAAGAAGUGCGCUGUGAUGUAAGAAAUGCAGUAAACUUACUGGCCAAAGUCAGAUGCACCAGGCAGCUGAAUUCUGAUGGAUCAACAGUUCAGUAACAGACCUCCUCCUGAUUCUCCCCCUUUUUUUUUAAACAUAGUCACAUGCUCUUCAAAUUGAACGUCAACAAUCAAAAAAUAUUCCAAAAAGUAAAUUAUUUUCAGUAUUGGGAAUGAAAUAUUAAUGGGUUUUAAGGUUAAAUUACUUUAAAAUGUCACUAUAUAACUUAAAAAUUCCCAUCUCUGUUACCUUCAGCCUUAAAGGAAUAGUUCACACAAAAAUAAUUCCCCUCAUCAUUUACUCACCCUCAUGCUGUCUCAAACUCGGAUGACUGUCUUUCUUUUGCUGAAAAAAAAAAAAGAUAUUUUUGAAAGAUAUAGGAGGUAUUUUUGUCAUUGGAACAAUAUCCAUACAAGUGGUUUAAUCUAUGUCUUCUGAAUUGAUACAGUCGCUUUGGUUGAGAAACAGACAAAAAGUUAUAAGAACCAAAAGUCUGUAAUCCGUAGUCUCCUUGGCCCAUUCAUGAGAGAAGCUCGUUCACACAAUUCCUCGAUUGACGCAUACGCAGGGUGCUGUACAUUAACCAGACACAAUGUUGCCAGGUUUGCGGGUUCCACACAGAGUUGCGAGAUGGAAUGAUAGUCUCGGGUUGUUUUUGGGAUACUUUAAAGAUGUACCUUGGUUGGCAAAAUGUUGAUAGUAAACACAGCAACAAACAUCUUAAAACGUGCAUUGUAUUCCAAAUGGGCAAAAUAUUUUUUACAUUUCUUAAAACCUACACUGUAUUCAAAAUGGGCCGGAUGUCAAGAUUUGUAGUGAAUAAGGACUUAAAUUUUGUUUAUCACCCAAAUCAAUUGUAUCGCUUCAGAAGACAUGGAUUAAACCACUCGAGUCUUGGAGUUUUGUUUAGUGCCUAAUUGACUUGCAUUGUAUGGACAAAACAACUCAUACAUUUUUUUUUAAUAUAUUUUGGUUUGUGUUUGGCAGAAGAAAGUCAUACAUGUUUGAGAUGGCAUGAGGGUGAGUAAAUGAUGAGAGAAUGAGCAUUUUUGGGUGAACUAUGCCUUUAACAUGUUGAUACAUUUAACGAUUAAUCUUACUGGUACUAACCUGUAUACAUCACUGUAGUCAGUGCACAGUUGAACCUUUUUUUUUAUUUUUUAUUUUUUUUUUUAAUAGCUCAACCAAAAGUUUACUUAUUUUACUUCAGUAUCCAUCUGGAUAAAAUGUCAGUUAUCCAUGUAAAAGUUUAUUUAGAGGCUGUAAUAAAAUCCUGCACCUUUGAUAUCUCUGUUAUAUACUACAUUCCCCUUUAGUGGGGAUGAACAAUGCGUAUAUGUAUGGUGAUGUAAACAACACCCUUAAAAGAAUGGUUUUAUACACUAUUGAGUGCCUACAAGAACUCUAUUCCUGCAAAACCCUCUUCAGUAAAAUGUAAUUAUCAGGUCUUUAGAACUUUUAAGCUUUGUUAGAACCUCAAAAAACGCUAUUUGUGAGAUUCAACCUUUUUUUUUUUUUUUUCUGGAAUUGUUUUGCUUUGAUGGAUCAGAAAUUAACCUGGUUACUCUAUAAUGGAGCCCCUCCCUCUUCACUAGAAUUCACAUCACUUUCAACAAAGCACCUACUUGAUUUACCUUUACUCACUAUUUGAAAGUGUUUAUGAAAUAAGUACACCAUUCAAUGUAAUUCUGAACUUCAUACAAACCACUUGUAUUUGUCACUUUUAAUGGCAUAGAUUCUGAAACUCUAUGACAAGUAAUUUAAUGAUCAACAACUUUUCCCUAUAGAGUUGCAUAUAAGGGAAAUUUUCCUUUAAAAGCAGGGCCACAAACAAUAUCUCUGAAGAAUAGUGAUGAUAAUACAUAGGCAACCAAAAGUAUUACCCUUUUAAUAUCUUUAAAAUGAUCCUCCCUGCUUUUUAUUUAGUAACCCCAUAAAGUAUUAAAUGGAUCAGUAGCAACAUGACAGAACUAUUAUUAGUCAGUACUAUUGAAGUCCAAAGGUCCUUUAAAAUCCUCAUCUUGCCAGGAAUUUCAUUUUUAGUUUGUCAACCUUCAUCAAAAUUGAGGGACUUAUGUAUGUGGAAUUUUUCUUUAUGGGAAAAAUAAACACAUUCAAAAAUUUUAAA